rnacentral:misc_RNA from 1 species
GAAAUGCGAUAAGUAAUGUGAAUUGCAGAAUUCCGUGAAUCAUCGAAUCUUUGAACGCACAUUGCGCCCUCUGGUAUUCCGGGGGGCAUGCCUGUCCGAGCGUCAUUGCGAACCCCUCAAGCACGGCUCGUGUGAUGGGCCCUCCCGCGUCUUGGUCGUCAAGACGGGCCCGAAAUGCAGUGGCGGCUUCGCGGUUAUCCGAUCAGCCAGAGCGUAUGGGGACUUUCUCUCUGUCACACGCCCGCGGCGCGGACCGACGCCUGUCGACCUUCAUUCAUCGUUUUCUCGGUUGACCUCGGAUCAGGUAGGGAUACCCGCUGAACUUAAGC